rnacentral:rRNA from 1 species
UCCAGAGGGUGCGAGCGUUAAUCGGAAUUACUGGGCGUAAAGCGCACGUAGGUGGCGACGUAAGUCGGGUGUGCAAGCCCCGGGCUCAACCUGGGAAUUGCAUUCGAGACUGCAUUGCUCGAGUACGGAAGAGGAAGGCGGAAUUCCCGGUGUAGCGGUGAAAUGCGUAGAUAUCGGGAGGAACAUCAGUGGCGAAGGCGGCCUUCUGGUCCAGGACUGACACUCAAGUGCGAAAGCGUGGGGAGCAAACAGG